UAUCCUCAUAAGUUCGACAAGAAGAGGAACCAUGAAUUUAGUAAAUUAUUAACUCCUAUUAAUUUAUUUAUAUGGUGGCACAAAAUCGGAAGCCCCGACUGUUUACUAAAAACACAACUAUCUGCAAUUAUGAAAAUAAUAGUAUAGGUAGUGAGAUUUGCCCAAUGCCAGAUUAAUAAGUAAUAAUAAUGGGUAACUGUUUCUUUACAAAAAAUUGGUUAAUAGCGGUCUUAACUAUGAGGAUCCUAAGGUAGCAAAAUAAAUUGGCCAUUAAAUGUGGUCCAGUAUCAAUAAUUUAACGAUGGCUUCACUGUCUCUACAACUUGCUCAGUGAAAUUGAAUUACCCGUGCAGAUGCGGGUUACCUCAAAGAGGACGGGAAGACCCUAUG
rnacentral:rRNA from 1 species